rnacentral:rRNA from 1 species
UACGUAGGGUGCGAGCGUUGUCCGGAAUUAUUGGGCGUAAAGAGCUCGUAGGCGGUGUGUCGCGUCGGCCGUGAAAACCUGGGGCUUAACUCUGGGCGUGCGGUCGAUACGGGCAUCACUGGAGUUCGGCAGGGGAGACUGGAAUUCCUGGUGUAGCGGUGAAAUGCGCAGAUAUCAGGAGGAACACCGGUGGCGAAGGCGGGUCUCUGGGCCAAUACUGACGCUGAGGAGCGAAAGCCAGGGGAGCAAACGGG